GGAGGGGGCUAGUGUUGUUCGGAAUUACUGGGCGUAAAGGGCGCGCAGGCGGCUUGGCAAGUCGAGUGUGAAAUCCCUUGGCUUAACUGAGGAAUGGCGCUCGAAACUACCUCGCUCGAGGGCGGGAGAGGGAAGUGGAACUCUCGGUGUAGGGGUGAAAUCUGUAGAUAUCGAGAGGAACACCGGUGGCGAAGGCGGCUUCCUGGCCCGUACCUGACGCUGAGGCGCGAAAGCGUGGGGAGCAAACAGGAUUAGAUACCCUGGUAGUCCACGCCCUAAACGAUGGGCACUAGGUGUGGGCGGUAUUAAUCCCGUCUGUGCCGUAGCUAACGCAUUAAGUGCCCCGCCUGGGGAGUACGGUCGCAAGGCUGAA
rnacentral:rRNA from 1 species